rnacentral:rRNA from 1 species
UACGAAGGGGGCUAGCGUUACUCGGAUUGACUGGGCGUAAAGGGCGCGUAGGCGGUUUGUACAGUCAGACGUGAAAUUCCUGGGCUCAACCUGGGGGCUGCGUUUGAUACGUGCGGACUUGAGUUCGGAAGAGGGUCGUGGAAUUCCCAGUGUAGCGGUGAAAUGCGUAGAGAUCGGGAGGAACACCAGUGGCGAAGGCGGCUACCUGGACCAGCACUGACACUGAGGCACGAAAGCGUGGGGAGCAAACAGG